CACCCCCAUCGUGGACACAAAUGCAAAUUCUAGAAGCUGGAGAGAAAUUUCAUAUUGGAAACCAUUUGGCUCCAUUUGCCUGCUACCAGUACCUCCAGAUGAUUCUAGGCCUCUCUUGUCAAUGAGAUUCUCAUUUCUCAAGGUAAUUCUUACGAGAAAAUUCUGGUGCUUCCAUGGGGUUACCAGAAUUCCAUCCAACAAUGCUUUUUAAAUGCAUAAGAGCUUCAGAAAGGACUAUGGAGACAGCUUCUGUCUGUGCAAUCAUGGGAAGGAAAAAAAUGACGGAAGGGCACCCAGAAACCUGGUGGCCCCAACAGCUGGGGAUGGAAAGUCACACCCAAGUUGGCAUCUCCAGUGUGGCGUCCUCAGGUAUGUCCAGUGACUGCUCACAUGACUGCUCAGAUUCCAGGAGUAAAUGCUUUCUACGAACAAGGCAGCGUCUGCAAGUGCUCUCCUGGCCUAGCCCGAGAAAUAAUGCAGCUUUUCUUGUGCCAUCUUCUGUCGGAUCCUAA
rnacentral:lncRNA from 1 species